UACGGGGGGUGCGAACGUUGUCCGGAAUCACUGGGCGUAAAGGGCGCGUAGGUGGUUUGAUAAGGGUGUGGUGAAAGUCCGGAGCUCAACUCCGGAUCUGCCGUGCCGACUGUCAAACUCGAGGGCUGUAGAGGCAGACGGAAUUCCGGGUGUAGCGGUGGAAUGCGUAGAGAUCCGGAAGAACACCGGAGGCGAAGGCGGCUUGCUGGACCUGGUCUGACGCUGAGGCGCGAAAGCGUGGGGAGCGAACAGG
rnacentral:rRNA from 1 species